CCUACGGGUGGCUGCAGUGGGGAAUAUUGCACAAUGGGCGAAAGCCUGAUGCAGCAACGCCGCGUGAAGGAAGAAGGGUUUCGGCUCGUAAACUUCUAUCAACAGGGACGAAAGAAAUGACGGUACCUGAAUAAGAAGCCCCGGCUAACUACGUGCCAGCAGCCGCGGUAAUACGUGGGAUGCAAGCGUUAUCCGGAUUUAUUGGGUUUAAAGGGUGCGUAGGCUGUGAGGUAAGUCAGCGGUGAAAUGCCCCCGCUCAACGGGGUGAAGUGCCAUUGAUACUGCCUUGCUGGAAUGCGGAUGCCGUGGGAGGAAUGUGUGGUGUAGCGGUGAAAUGCAUAGAUAUCACACAGAACACCGAUUGCGAAGGCAUCUCACGAAUCCGCGAUUGACGCUGAUGCACGAAAGCGUGGGUAUCAAACAGGAUUAGAUACCCCAGUAGUC
rnacentral:rRNA from 1 species